rnacentral:rRNA from 1 species
AGCAGCCGCGGUAAUUCCAGCUCCAAUAGCGUAUAUUAAAGUUGUUGCAGUUAAAAAGCUCGUAGUUGAAUUUCGAGAUCGGCUUAUUGGUCGUGCUAUUGUACGUACUGGUAUAACCGGUUUCUCCUUUCUGACGAACCUUAAUGCCAUUAAUUUGGUGUUUUGGGAAAUCAGGACUGUUACUUUGAAAAAAUUAGAGUGUUUAAAGCAGGCUCACGCUUGAAUACAUUAGCAUGGAAUAACGGAAUAGGACGUUUGAUUCUAUUUUGUUGGUUUCUAGGAUCGACGUAAUGAUUAAUAGGGAUAGUUGGGGGCAUUAGUAUUCAAUUGUCAGAGGUGAAAUUCUUGGAUUUAUUGAAGACUAACUACUGCGAAAGCAUUUGCCAAGGAUGUUUUCAUUAAUCAAGAACGAAAGUUAGGGGAUCGAAGACGAUCAGAUACCGUCGUAGUCUUAACCAUAAACUACGCCGACUAGGGAUCGGAUGAUGUUAAUUUUUUAAUGACUCAUUCGGCGCCUUAC